rnacentral:rRNA from 1 species
UACGUAGGUCCCGAGCGUUGCCCGGAUUUAUUGGGCGUAAAGCGAGCGCAGGUGGUUAAUUAAGUCUGAUGUGAAAGCCCACGGCUUAACCGUGGAGGGUCAUUGGAAACUGGUUGACUUGAGUGCAGAAGAGGGAAGUGGAAUUCCAUGUGUAGCGGUGAAAUGCGUAGAGAUAUGGAGGAACACCAGUGGCGAAGGCGGCUUCCUGGUCUGCAACUGACACUGAGGCGCGAAAGCGUGGGGAGCAAACAGG